rnacentral:tRNA from 1 species
UUAAUUGAAGCCAAAUAGAGGCUUAUCACUGUUAAUGAUAUCAAUGAAUAUAAUUCCAAUUAAA